UACAGCUGUACACCAAAGUAAAACACAGGCAAGCCUAAACAUGAUAUCAUAGUCCAUAAAAUGCCAAAUCAGUAACCUAUCAUUAUAACCUAACUUCCUUCACACGCUCUAACUUGGAGAAACGAACAGUUAGAUUGAUAACUUGGUCAACUCAACUUAGUAUCCAAAAAUGGCUGCUUUGCACAACAUUUCUCUUCACGUCUUUCCUCUUUCAAAAACCAACAAAACCAUUUCAAAAAACAUGCAAAACCCUCAGUUUCUCAACCCAAAAUUGCCAAAGAGCCAAAUUUUCUCCAGAAACAAACAGAGCUGGCACUUGAAUUCUGUUGUCUAAGAAGAGCUCAAUGUUAUUCCAGUACAGAGUGGUGACAAUGUAGACCAGCAAGAAGGGAUAGUAGCGAGUCAAGCAAAGAGAGAAGGGACAAAGUUGGCUACUCAGGUGAGUGGGUUUGGAGGGAGUGAAGGUAGUUUUCUUUUGAAGGGUUCUCCUUAGCUUCAAGUUCUGGUAUUGAUGGAGAGAGUAUAGAGAGGAAAUUGGAAUCCGAGAGGUUAAUUGAUAAGACCAUCAAUGCAAUGAUCGUUCUUGGUGUUGGUACUUAUUCUAUCACCAAGUUGCUCACAGUUGACCAUAAUUACUGGCAUGAAUGUUCUUCAUGCGUAGCAUUUCUUGACAAAUUCUCUUGGCGUUGGAGCAAAUUUGAUUCUGUUUCUUGUAUCACCUUCGGCUUUGAAUUUGUGUCCUCUGGCUUAAAGUUAUGCAAUUAAGUAUGAUUUUAUGGAAGCCGAAGGUUUUAUUGGGGGUCUUAAGAAUGCUAGAAAUUUUUUUUUUGGUUUUUGUAAUAAAAGAAGUUUGGGACUUAUGGCUUAAAAUAUGCAGCUUAUGACUUGGACAGAAGAUUCAUUAAAACCUUUGAUUCGUAUUCUGGUUUUAUUGAUGCUAGCUUGAUUUGUUGUUCUGGUCACUCAAUCGAGGAGAAGGAAGAAGAAGGUCAUUUUCGUCUGUUUAGGUUAUCAACAGUAGAAAACAAGAAGGAUGCAGCACAGUUAUGUGAACCGCAAUAAAAAAAGAAAAAAGCUAGUGAAAGAUGCUUGCAAAUAACUGAAGUUGGACCUCAGUUUAUUGGUGGAUCCCACUAAUAAAAACACAGCUUUCUUUUGUAACCAAACAAUAUAAUCUGUGGUUCUGCUCAAAACGUGAAAGCUGCUACAAAAACAAACGCGCUUCCUUGGUUUUUAUUCACAACUUGCUUGUCUUCGAUUGUCUUGAAUUUUCUUUUUCUGUAGAGAGUAUUAUAUUUUCUUAAAAGCCCAGAUUAGUACGUUUGGUGCUCAAACUUGUCAUGGAUAAUCAGAUUUCUUUGGCUGAUUCUCUUAACCAAGAGAACAAAUCCUGUUUUCUCUAGGGAAAGAAGCUAUUAAUUGCCUUGAGAGAGGUAAAAAUGAGCCUUAUUCACAUUUUGUCCAGGUUAUGCCAUAUGAGUUGAGUUUUAGGUACCUUUUGUACACAAUAAAAUUUUGAUCCAUCACAAUUUUGCUCAUGUGAUUAUUGGUAGCUGGGAAACUCAGUUUUGUACAGAGUACAGGAUAUAUAAUAUCAAAGUCUUAUGUAUAA